rnacentral:sRNA from 1 species
UUUAGGUAAAAACUGGAAAGACUAGCUUGGAGUAGAUAUCAAGAGUUUACGGGAAUCAGGCAGUGGUUGUUAGUAUCGAUCCCUGUAGAGUGUAUGUAAAGGAUCCUAAUGAUGUGCAAUUGAAGACCGUAAGGGUUUCAAAUCUAG